UUUCUAAAUAAAACCUUGUGUAUUGCAUUCAGAUAAUCUCUACCUCAAUCAAGAGGAAGAAAGAAACUUUAUCACAGCCAGAGACCUCUUCCACCCCCUUAGCCAGAUUGCUUCUUGUCAGAAUACAAGCAUUACAGUAAUUUUUUAGUAAAGAGAAUAGGAAAAUUCUGGGAAGCAUACAAAUACCUUCAGCUUUAACUAAUUACUUGGUAUUGAUGUUUUUCCCACUGAAAGCAGAACAUUCUUUUAAAAUGUGGUGGAAUUUAGGGCGGGUAGUAUAACACAGGUAGUAUGAUUUAUUUUGUUUUGCAGCUGAAUUUAGGAAUACAUUGAAAUAGUUUAAAACCAAGGCAAAGGCUGGGCAAAGCUGAUAUGAUACCUUCUAGACUAGUUUAUUCACUCCCAGUAAUUAUUCAGCUUUAAAGGAGCAAUAGGCUGCAUUAGAGAAGCAAGUAAGUUCUUUGGCUGUCAUGUGCAAAUGUGCACUGAGCAUUCUAUAAUAAUAGUAGGACAGAAUUCUUUGACUGUGGUGUUGGUAAUCCCUUUAGCAUUAUACACAAGUCAUUUUGUAACCUGUCAUUACAGCAAACCUCAAGUUGAUAUGACAGAUGAUAUUCAUGCAUUAAGCACAGGCCAUCCUCGCUGCAGUAAACAUGGUCACCUCUGCAAGCUCAGAAUUGUGAGGAAGGAUGGAGAAAACAAGGGCAGGAAGUUUUACAGCUGUCCUCUACCCACAGAAACUCGGUGCGACUAUUUUCAAUGGGCUGACUUGAAUUUUCCAUUUUGUCACCAUGGCAAACGAUGUGUUAUGAAGAUGGUGUUGAAGCUUGGUCCCAAUAAUGGAAAGAACUUUUUUGUGUGCCCUUUAGGAAAGGAAAAACAGUGUGGCUUUUUCCAAUGGGCAGAAAAUGAGCCAGUUACACAGUCCAUUCCUUGAUGUUAUAGUUAUCUGUUUCUCAGUAUAUCUUAAAUAUGUACAACUCUCCUGGUCAUUUCUGAUUUGCUGUUAUUUUGUUUUUCCUGUUCACUGAUUAAUUAGUAGAAUAGCUCCGACAACUAAGUAAAAAAUACUGCUUACUCAAUCCCAAUUUUAAAGAGUCCUAUAACAUUAAACACUGCUUGUACACUGCAUGCUACUUUGAAAUAAACAUCUAGCUUGCAAUAUAUUGUGACAUACUGUUAUUUGACUGGAAAUAUAAUUGAACUGCUUUUUUUUUUUCAUGUAAAUGUCACUGCACUGUCAGCACUGCAAAUUUUCAAGCUGAUAUGAUUUAUGGAAUGGAUAACUUAAUCUAGAUUUGUACUUGAAAUUGGUAGACUCUUUUAUAAGUAAGUGUAAACAUGUAUUUAAUUAAUAAAAUUUAAUGCACUCUUCAA